rnacentral:lncRNA from 1 species
ACUGACUCAAGGAAGAUUCCUGACAUCAACCUCAGGCCACCACAUGCAUGUGCACCCACAUGUGAACAUGCAACUGCACAGGAAAGGAGGAAAAGCCUUAUUAGGAAAACACAUUCUGGCCCCCAGCAAGUCCACCUAGCUGAUCCUGCAGCCCUGGCUCUGGAGCAGAGCUUGAGUCAGAUCUCGAGGAAUAAGUGGUACUGGGUAGCAAGGGUGAGGUUAGGGCUCUCUCUAGUGACCCUGAUAAAUGAGCAAACAGUCAAAAGACUGAAGGGAAGAGGGGAGCCCUGUCAGCCCUCCGCCAAGAGCUAGACCUGUGGGAAGAGGGCUGCAUGGGUGGGGUUCAGGGACCUCCACAGCCUCCCAAGAGAGUGUCGGUAGUUGCGAAGCAAACAGAACCCACAUGAAGCUUGGAGCGAGAUGAAACUGACUUUAGAUAGUCUAAUCUGUAGUAAAGAUUAAUGCAGAAGAUGCAGGACAAAGAACAUCAGCGAGGAGGCCAUUGGCUGUCACCCUGGUCUAGAGCAACAGCUAAGGGGCCGAUAUGGGUUACUCAAGAGACAGUGUGAAGAUUUUUCUAGCCACGUGAAGGGGAGAGACAACUCCCAUACCCACAUGGUGUACUCACGCACACCCACACAUACGUAAAAAAAAAAAAAAAA